GGAGGUUGGGCCAUGAAGGCUGGAUGCAAUAGUUUGUGUGAAGCUGGACGCGUUGCAUGGAUGCUUCCCUUUCUUGCAAGUGGCUGCUGACCGUGCAUUGUGGAGCUGCUGGAUGCACCACCUCUUCAAAUCAUCAUGUGCAGGCCUGCUCCCGUGAAGGUUGUGUGACGUGCUUCUUCUCUCUCAGCCCAUCACUCAUUGCUAGAUACGUGAAGCUGGACGGUGGAGAGGAAUGGGCUAUCCAAGCUGCAUUGUUGCAGGACCUCUUCAUGGACGUUGCUGGUCCGUUUGAAGCGAGAUAGAAGCUACUGUGUGCUGUAGCAUGGAGUGCUCCUCAAGUAGCUGUUGGAUCAUCUUCCAUGUGCACCCAUCGUUGCCUUCUUAGAUGCAGCAGCAUGAACCUUCUUUUUCCUGCUGGGUUGCACCUCCCACUUGCAUGCUGCUACCCUUUUAAUUUUUUUUUGUGGUUGCUGGACCGCUUCAGCUUUCUCCAAUAAAUGAAGCAACGUGUUGCUUUUGCUUUUUGGACCUGCUUCAUUUUUUUUUCUUCUUUUCUCCAAGCAAGAAAGUCUACGUGUUGCACUCCCAAGGAUUGAACCAACAGCUGCUCCCAUUCUCUUUGCACAUGGGCCGUGACACCACCAAGACCUCUCCUCUCCAAAUCACGUGCAGGACCUCUCAAGUUAAUUCCAAAGUUCGACCUGCUUUUCUGCUGGACAGCGUGGAUGCUUGAUGGAGAAACUUCCAUGGGCUGCAGCUUUUUUUUUUUAAGUGUGGGUCGUUUCUAAUGUUGCAAGCAGUUGGAUCAAUUUGCAACCUUGUUGCUGGACCGUGUAUGUGUCCGUGAAGAGGUGGGUGGCAGAUAUUGCCAUUCUGUGUGCACCCCCAAAUUCAACAUGUUGCACCCC
rnacentral:lncRNA from 1 species